rnacentral:lncRNA from 1 species
UAAACUCUGCAAUGCCUGGAAAGUUGAAUCCCUCAAUCAUUAUCCAAGAAUACUAGGUAGCAGGACUUAUGUGUCUUAUUGCAUUCAUAUCAAUAAUGUAUGAUUAAGAGUCCUGAGACUGAGACUGAAAAUCAUAGUGAAGCAGUGCGAUAAGAUUGCUUCAUCUUCCAAUAUUGGGUAGUUGAAUUCCCAGAUCCCUGUUCACC